GAUGAACGCUAGCGGCAGGCUUAACACAUGCAAGUCGAGGGGUAUAUGCCUUCGGGCAUAGAGACCGGCGCACGGGUGCGUAACGCGUAUGCAAUCUGCCUUCCACAAAGGAAUAGCCCGGAGAAAUUUGGAUUAAUGCCUUAUAGCAUCACGAGAUGGCAUCAUCAUGUGAUUAAAGAUUUAUCAGUGGAAGAUGAGCAUGCGUCCCAUUAGCUAGUUGGAGUGGUAACGGCACACCAAGGCGAUGAUGGGUAGGGGUCCUGAGAGGGAGAUCCCCCACACUGGUACUGAGACACGGACCAGACUCCUACGGGAGGCAGCAGUGAGGAAUAUUGGUCAAUGGGCGCAAGCCUGAACCAGCCAUGCCGCGUGCAGGAUGAAGCAUCUAUGGUGUGUAAACUGCUUUUAUACAGGAAGAAACACUCCCUCGUGAGGGAGCUUGACGGUACUGUAGGAAUAAGGAUCGGCUAACUCCGUGCCAGCCGCCGCGGUAA
rnacentral:rRNA from 1 species